CACCCACGGGGUAGAGAGCCCGCCGCCCGGGAGGCCGCUGCGGACUCUGCACCCUGGGGUGGGUGUGCCGCCUGCUUCCCCGGGCUCCGUCCUCCUCCGCCGUCCAUGGAAGGAGCCCGGCCCGCGCCGCCCGGGGACCCGCUGGAGCUCUCGGUGCUCGAGAGGCAGCCGGACGAGCAGACGCCUCUCAAUGGAGCCGCUCAGGUCAUCCCUGUCCCCUUUUCUGCCGAGGAGCCCCGUCCAGCCCAGGCCAACCAGAAAAGCCCUUGGAGCUCCUGCAAUAGGCCUUUGUUUGGAAAGUGUAAACUGUGGAUGGCCAUAGCCCUUAUCUUCCUAGGUUUCAUUGUAGUGAUCAGCAUAAGCUUAUUUCUUUUUGGAGUAACUUACAUCGAUGAAGAUGAAAAUGAAAUACUUGAGUUAUCAUCAAAUAAAACGUUCUUGGUCAUGCUAAAGAUUCCAGAGGAGUGUGUUACUGAAGAGGAAUUGCCUUACCUGCUCACGAAAAGGCUCACAGAUGUGUACAGCUCAUCUCCAUCUCUGAAUCGUUAUUUUACUUCAGUGGAAAUAAUGGACUUCAGAGAGGAAAAUGCCACAAUAACCUACCACCUGCAGUUUGGGGUCCCGUCGGAAGAUGACAGUUUUAUGAAGUAUAUGAUGAGUGAGGAAUUGGUGCUGGGCAUUUUGCUACAGGAUUUCCAUGAUCAGAACCUGUCUGGCUGUGAGACUCUGGGGCUUGAUCCGGAGGCUCUACACUCUGGCCUUUCUCUCCAUCUCUCCUCACUUCCUUCCAAGUCCUCCCUUAGAGAUGCACUAGCUCUCCUUAGCCCCAGAGGCCAACAAUCUUGGGUGUCUCAUUUUCUCAUAGACCAUCCGUCAGAAACACUCUCUGCACAUUAGCAGUAGAUACUAGUGGAAAGAAUGAAAAAGGCAAAGAGAAGGAGACGUGUAGCACCAGGCACGGUGCCAGCAGCCCAGCGUCCGGAGAGUGGGGCAGAGAGGUUAUAAAGCACUCGUGGGACUUCAGCACGACAGUGGGCACUUAGCAUGAUGGCUGAAAAGUGAUGUGGUAGAGGCCGGCCUGUGUCUGAAGCAGUUUCCGUGGGCUGUGGGAUGAAGAUAACGCAUUCUAUUUUACAGAAAAGAAACUGUGAAUUAACUGGAAGAAUUUGAAAUGAUGAGAGGGCUAGGCACAGUCUUUUUUCUCCUGAUUGUGCACAGUAGGACAUCCAGCAAAACAGCAAGAGCUGCCCUGGUCCCACUGGUUGUAGAGGCAGGAAACCAGAUGGGGCAGGGGUGACGGGGCAGGGUGGACCUUGCGGAGUAAAUUCACUGCUAUUUUUUAAGAACCUCCAUGUGGACACUUUCUCUUUAGUGCUGGGGUAGACUUUUGAGCAAGAUCCCACCAGCCUGUUCUGUUGGAGAGGAUGAGGGAGAACUGAGCCAGUGGCUCACUGAAAUCCCCCUCCCGCUCAGCAUUACAUUUAAUCUACCUCUAAGCAAGCCUGGGAGGAUAGGGAGGGCAUUUAAGACCAGAGCAACACAGUCAUGUGUCUACAUUCAUGACCUGUAGCUGCAUUUCUUAGCAAACCAGCUGUAGGCACAUCAUCCAAUGUUACCAUGUUAUCAAUAGCUGCGGAAAGGAAAUGUUCUUUUAAAAUUAUUUUGCAUCUCCUCAUUGUUCCUGUGGACACCUCUCUUAAAAACAUGAUUCCCUGUGAGUUUUGAACACUCUGCUGUCAUUUUGGAGAGUUUUCCCAUGUAUAUUUUCACAACCUCCAUUAGAGAAUCAUUAAGAACCCUCACCAUCAGCUAGAACUAUAUUACACACUGGCUUUUCAUGGUCCAGUGUUAGGGCCUUCUAGUAGGACUCAGUGUCUUCAGGCUUUGAUUGUAGAUCUGAUGAAAGAUGGUUUUGAAACAGGAAGAACCACUCUCUGAAACAAACUGUUAUAAGCUUAACGCCAGUUCAUUUAACAGGGUGGGAGAAUAUUGGUAACUGGCUCGGUCAUUUGCCUAUCAUGAGGGAUCAGAAUUUUUGUUUUCUCGGGGAAAUUGCUGGAAAAUUUCCAGGAGAGUUUGUGGUCCUAGAAUGAGAGCUCUUUAGUCUACUAUUUCAGUUAGGUUGACCUUAGGUGGAAGUUAGUAUAGGGGGGUAGCUGAGUGUGGGUGUGUGUCUAAGUCUUGUCUCAGGUAGAUUUGCCUUAAGCUCUUUAGGACCCAGGACUCUGGAUAAUGUGAAAACUUUCUUAUUGAACUAGAAGAUGCAUUUAUUGUAACGUUGCCUCAUUCUGAGGAUGGUUCCGCAAACUAGCAAAACAGGUAAAUUAUCCUUCUUCCUCUUUAUUUUUUUACAUGUCAAGUGUAAGCUUUAAUGUAUUUGUACUUUUUAGAAAAUAAUGAAGACUUUUCAUGGAAAGGGAUUUAAAAUAUUCACAAUAAAUUAUUUUUGCCCUCUG